CCACUCGAAGAUGAUGAGUUGCUAUCGUACAUGCUGCGAGACCUUGGAUCUGAAUUUGAUCCUCUAGUGACAAGCAUCACCACUCGUGCUAAUGCUAUGAUGGUAAGUGAUGUGUAUGCUCAUAUGCUUGGAUUUGAGU